CUAGAUUACAAUUUGCCUUUACUUCCUGAAAUCACAUAGAUAAAUGCUCCAGUAGUUAACUACGUUGUAUUUGCAGUAAGUGUUUUGGUCUGCUAUCAGAUUCUGUUAGGUGGCACAUAGAUUCCUGCCUUGCAGCUAGCAUCAUUUCAGGAGGUAUUUUGAAAGAUCUUCCAAUUAUGGCUUUGCUUUUCUCUCACAGCAAUUAAAGUCCCUUAUUUUAAUUUCAUUGGAAACUGUAGUGUUUUAGACCUUGCCCAUGCAGCUGAAUGCUCAUCUCUGGAUCUUAUUUCCAGUCCUCAUAAGGCCUGGGUUUGAUGACCUAGUCUGAUUACAGGAUCUUUGACAGCUUUAAAGAAAUUUGCACAAAGGAAGGAGACAGCUGCUGUUCUGAUGAAGGAUUUUUCUGAGCAGGCCUCCCAAGCUAGACGUGCCACUAUGAGAUGCUGCCUCCACUUUUCAUCAUGAGCAACAGGUGACUAAUCUGCAAUCAAAAACACUUCACGGGAAUGGAUCAGUCGCUGUUAUAAAGUUUGAGCUUAUAGCAUUUUUUCAUGCUGGAAUGUGAGGGCUGAGAUUGCGGCUUGACCUAUGCAGCUGUGCACGAGAAUAAGCUGGAAUAAAAGAUACCCCACCCUUACACAUCUACAUGGGCUACAUUAGUAUAGGGGUAUAGAGAAUGUGUUGACACAGCGCAGUUGAGGACUUCCAGACACAGUGAAAUCCUUGCAAGAGGCAUCAGAGAGUGGAUUGCCAGAGUUUUAGAAGCCCGGCAGCUGUUAGCCUGUUGCAGCAUGAGGAAGAGUCUUCAGUCUCUCCAAUGCACAGGAAGGAGAAGACGAAUUGUAGUAAAUGUCCGCCUUCGAUACUGAGAAAAAGGCCACCCGUGAACCAAGCUGUGAGUGAAAAGCGAAAAGCAGAGAGAAGGGUUCGAUUUCGUGAGCCAGAGAUCACUGGAUAUGACAUUUCCUGCUGGGACUACAGAGUUGCACAUGACAGGCCAUCAGCUGGAUUGCCCUUGCUCCUGUGGAUUUCGCUUUGUUUAGUGCUGAUCCUGGCUGUGAGUCUGUACUACAGCAGCGUGAAGCAGAAUUUCAAAGUCUUGGAAGAAUUUCAAUCCCAGCUCGUUAUCUUCUUUCUUCAGAUAAGACGGGUUGCUUUGAAAUGCUGGACUUGGUUUAUGCGGCAAUAACGGUGUCACACGUGUGGAAUUGUGCAUGGCCCAAGACAAAGAUCUUAGCAGAUAACAUCUAAAUGUAUAUUGCAGCACAAGGCUGACAGCCCACUCAACCCAAACACCAGAGAAUGUGCCAGCCUUCCCUUUGAAGACUAAUAGAGCUGACCCUGUCGUGUACACACCUUUUCCUGUAGCCACUUGUCUUCCAUUUCUUUUAUUAUUAUUGUAUAUAUUACACUAACACCUAAAGGUUGCAACCAAAAUCAGAGCUCCCUUGUCCUAGGCAAUACAUAAAUAUCUGGUAAGAGAUAUCCCUGCCUCAGAGAGUUUAUAAACUGAAGAAACAAGAAAAAGCAAAGGAACAGAACACAGAGAUUAAUUGAUUCAAUCAAGGUCACAUAGGUAGAUAAUACCAGGAACUAAACCCAGGUCAAUCAAGUCUCAGGUCACAAGACCAUCAUUCUGCUCUGUUUUUGCUACUGCAAUGUGUGCAAGCAUUACUUCUUGUGUUCGAAGGCUCUGCAAUGCUGUAUUUUACACAUAUGUGAAAUGAUUGUGAGUAAAACCUUGGCAGAUGGUGUUCUCAUUUCCCCUCAAGCUUUCUCCUAUGUGGGCAAAAGAUAGCUCUUGGAAAUGUUUCACCGGGCUCCCAGGCAUGGAAGAGAGCAUGCAAACUCAUUUAAACAGGCUAUGGUUAUUUGCUUAAUAUCACACACAACAGAAUUGAAUCCCAGGUUAAUUAUCAAGUCAGUAGUUUAAUCCUAUGAGUUUGAUUCAGUCCGUAAAUCUCAUGAGCCAAGUUUACAUGGUUUGUGACAUCAACAAACUUCUUCAAUUCACUUAUAGCUUGUAUUCAGUCAGGGGGCCACGUAUUCAUUCCAUGCAUGCUCAACUAUAGUUUAAGGCUUUGCAUAAUGCUACAAUUGAGUGUUUAUGAAGGUGGCAAGGAUAAAGCUCCAUUGUUUUAGGAGCCCCCCCCUCCCAUUAAUAGCCUACAGUAAAGAUAUUUCUGAAGGGGAUCAUUUUAACAAUGAUAGUGCAAUAAAUGCUGAAUGCCUCUUGUAUGUGUCAAAGUGGACCCCAAUGCGUCUAUCCAAGUGUGUCUCAAAGAGGGCCAACAAAUUCAUCUGGCCUGUGAGCACUAGCUUCCUGGACUUUAUU